UGACCUCGGAUCAGGUAGGAAUACCCGCUGAACUUAAGCAUAUCAAUAAGCGGGAGA
rnacentral:rRNA from 1 species